CAUAAUUUCUGUGAAGACCCUACUUCUAAAUAAGGUCACAUUCUGAGCUACUGAGAGUUAUGACUUCAGUAUAUCCUUUUUUUAGGGGGUGGGCACAGUUCAACCCAUACCAGAUGGUAGGUUAAGGAAAUAUUGUCAUCGUAAGUCCUUUCAGAAACAAGGUGUCUGCUGGGAACCCUGUAUUUAUUUUCAUGGCUGACUGAACUCAUAAUCACAAGCCUCCUGCACACCCCCUACUGGGGAUU